rnacentral:rRNA from 1 species
UACGUAGGGACCGAGCGUUGUCCGGAAUCAUUGGGCGUAAAGAGCGUGUAGGCGGCUAUUUAAGUCCUGCGUGAAAUCCUGCGGCUCAACCGCAGACGGUCGUGGGAAACUGGAUGGCUAGAGUGCGGGAGAGGAGAGUGGAAUUCCCCGGUGUAGCGGUGAAAUGCGCAGAUAUCGGGAAGAACACCGGUGGCGAAGGCGGGUCUCUGGGCCGAUACUGACACUGAGGAGCGAAAGCGUGGGGAGCGAACAGG